rnacentral:rRNA from 1 species
GAGUUUGAUCCUGGCUCAGGAUAAACGCUGGCGGCGUGCAUGAGACAUGCAAGUCGAACGGACGAUCAGGGCUUGCUCUGAUCGUUAGUGGCGGACGGCUGAGUAACGCGUAGGUGACCUGCCCCCGAAGUGGGGAAUAACUGCCCGAAAGGGUGGCUAAUACCGCAUGUGGUGGUGUGUUCAUUCACACCAGUAAAGCCGCAAGGCGCUUCGGGAGGGGCCCUGCGUCCGAUUAGCUCGUUGGUGGGGUAACGGCUCACCAAAGGCGACGAUCGGUAGGUGGUCUGAGAGGACGAUCACCCCAGACUGGGACUGAGACACGGCCCAGACUCCUACGGGAGGCAGCAGUCGGGAAUUUUGCGCAAUGGACGAAAGUCUGACGCAGCAACGCCGCGUGAGGGAUGAAGGCCUCGGUGUAAC